rnacentral:misc_RNA from 1 species
GCACCUUAAGCCUUUAAUAACUAUACUUAUUGUUAAAAUAGUAGUAAUAUCUGAAGAGCUAAGUCAAUUUCCUUAAACUAGGGCAAACAUAGCCAAAAGAAUCUAAAAAGGGAGUAAAUCAAUACUUGAUAACAUGGUACCACAUCGUUAAAUUCUCUCACAAUGAAAGGAAGACUAGAUGGCAAUGUAGGCACAAGGCAGGC